ACGGAGGGUGCGAGCGUUGUCCGGAAUCACUGGGCGUAAAGGGCGCGUAGGCGGCGCGACAAGGCGGCGGUGAAAGUCCGGGGCUCAACCCCGGAUCGGCCGUGGCGACUGUCGCGCUCGAGCACAGUAGAGGCGGGUGGAAUUCCGGGUGUAGCGGUGGAAUGCGUAGAGAUCCGGAAGAACACCGGUGGCGAAGGCGGCCUGCUGGGCUGUUGCUGACGCUGAGGCGCGACAGCGUGGGGAGCAAACAGGA
rnacentral:rRNA from 1 species